rnacentral:rRNA from 1 species
UACGAAGGGGGCUAGCGUUGCUCGGAAUCACUGGGCGUAAAGCGCACGUAGGCGGCUAUUCAAGUCAGGGGUGAAAGCCUGAGGCUCAACCUCAGAAUUGCCUUUGAUACUGUUUAGCUAGAGACCGGAAGAGGUUAGUGGAACUGCGAGUGUAGAGGUGAAAUUCGUAGAUAUUCGCAAGAACACCAGUGGCGAAGGCGGCUAACUGGUCCGGUUCUGACGCUGAGGCGCGAAAGCGUGGGGAGCGAACAGG